AUUGAACGCUGGCGGCAGGCCUAACACAUGCAAGUCGAGCGGCAGCGGGAAAGUAGCUUGCUACUUUUGCCGGCGAGCGGCGGACGGGUGAGUAAUGCCUGGGGAUCUGCCCAGUCGAGGGGGAUAACUACUGGAAACGGUAGCUAAUACCGCAUACGCCCUACGGGGGAAAGCAGGGGACCUUCGGGCCUUGCGCGAUUGGAUGAACCCGGGUGGGAGUAGCUAGUUGGUGAGGUAAUGGCUCACCAAGGCGACGAUCCCUAGCUGGUCUGAGAGGAUGAUCAGCAACACUGGAACUGAGACACGGUCCAGACUCCUACGGGAGGCAGCAGUGGGGAAUAUUGCACAAUGGGGGAAACCCUGAUGCAGCCAUGCCGCGUGUGUGAAGAAGGCCUUCGGGUUGUAAAGCACUUUCAGCGAGGAGGAAAGGUUGGUAGCUAAUAACUGCCAGCUGUGACGUUACUCGCAGAAGAAGCACCGGCUAACUCCGUGCCAGCCGCCGCCGUAA
rnacentral:rRNA from 1 species